rnacentral:rRNA from 1 species
AUAGCGUAUAUUAAAGUUGUUGCAGUUAAAAAGCUCGUAGUUGAAUUUUAGCCUCGGCUGAGUGGUCCACUAUUAGUCGGUACUGCUCCGGUCGAGGCUCACCUUCUGGAGAUCCGUCAUGUCCUUCACUGGAUGUGGCGGGGAACCAGGACUUUUACUUUGAAAAAAUUAGAGUGUUUAAAGCAGGCAUAUGCUUGAAUAGAUUAGCAUGGAAUAAUGGAAUAGGACCUUGGUUCUAUUUUGUUGGUUUCUAGGACCUCGGUAAUGAUUAAUAGGGAUAGUUGGGGGCAUUGGUAUUGAGUCGCUAGAGGUGAAAUUCUUGGAUUGACUCAAGACCAACUAUUG